AAUUUCUCCCUUUUUUUACUUGCCUGUAAAUCUUUUGUAUCUGCUCUUAUGUCAGAUCAUUGCACUUUCUGCUGCGGUAAGUAAUCUUUUGAGCAAAUUAUAUCAGCAUUUAAAAUAUAUAUUUUUUAUUUUGCUAAGCUUUAACGUAUGCAUACUAUGUGAAGGUUGUAGAUCAGUUAUUUGAUUUGUUUUCUUACUAGAUUGUUGACUUUUUUCCACUGCCUCCUCCUCCCCACUGCCAAGUGUGGCCAUCAGCACCUUCAUUUGAGGUGCCAUUGAUGCUUUGGCUCUCUAUUCAGGUCAUUGCAUCCUGUGAUAUUGUUGUAGUCUUGCACUGUCUCCUUGCCAAGUGUUGCCAUCAGCACCAUUUAAAGG